CUGACACUUAUGUUGCUUGUUGACCCAAACCAAAAUUGAUGAUGAUUAUAGUGAGCUCUGACAUCUGGAAAAAGUUAUGCUGAAGCCUGGCUGCAGUUUAGUUCUUUACCUUUUGGGACAAGCUGCUUGCAUUUGAUCUGGGUUGGAAAUCUUGAAAUCAGAUUUGGAUGGGCAUGUGGAAAGAAGGAUAUAAGAGAAAAUGGAGAAAAUGCAGAAGGAUCUCACUAUUUCCAUUGCUGCACUUUUAAAUUCUGCCCAGGUGAAAGGAAGGCACCCAUCUAAUGUCAGCGUAAAGGCUUAUCAAUGCAAGCUAAAAGUUGCAUGUUAAAAUGGGUAUCCAUGUUCUAUGAGCAGUUUGUUCAUAAAGCAGUCUUCAGUGCCUGACAGGAAGACUGAGGAAAGAUAUGUGCUGGCUCAUCAGAUCCCACUCUGAGCAAUAAAGUUCUUUCCAAAGAAGGAACUAGUCUUCUCUGAGCCAGACAAGGGCAAAACUUAUAAUCCUCUCAAAGUUUUACUUAAGAGUUUGUGAAAGGGCUUGGCCUUGCCUACAUGCCUCUCCUCACAAAUGGAAAUAGGCAGCUCAUCCAAAGGAGUGGCCUUAUUUACAUGGAAACUGUUUUACGUAAGAAGAGAAGGCUGGUCCAGCAAAGGUGUGGUUUUAUUUACAUCCAUGCUCUUCCCUUAUGAUUGGAGUGUGUCUGGAAGGUGUGGUCUCAUUUACAUCCCGCCACAACUGCCUUUGGCUUCUCUGGAUUCCACCCUUGCCUGUGGCUGGAAAAGGAACUCCUGCAAGCAGAAUAAACAGCUGUGUGAAAAACAUGAUUUUUCUGCUUCUGUUUCUUCAGUGUAUGCAUUCCUAUUGGUACGUACCUGAAAAGGGAAGGCCACAUUCCUGGGGAGAGAGUUUUGGGUCUGCAUAAGUGUGUGCAUGUAUGUUCAUAUGUGUGUAUGUGCUUCAAAUACCAAGAUGAACAUACCGGGUUUUUGUGCUGCCCUGAGUGUUGGAGGGUGCUAGAGCUCUUUCUGAAGAAAGGUAAGAAAAAUUAGUUCUUCAAAAUGGCUUUUUUUUCUUUUUUUUUUUUUAAGUUGCAUAUACAACUUUUUAAAGGUGCUGUUGACAGCCCUGGAAGAAGGCCUGUCUUUGGGGUGUGCGUGUGCCUGUGUGCGCAUGUGUGGCAUUUCAUGUAGUCACUCGCAUCAAAGUGAAGCCAACAUAAACAUGGUAGCAGCAUCUCACAUAAUCUCUGAACCAGGACAGCAGGCUACAGCAAAGGACAUGCAGGGCAGUCAGGCACUGACUAUGGUACAUGCAGUUGCCAUUCAAUAGUCAGUCCCUUCCUCAACUGGUAUAUCGUGUAUAUUCAGCUGUAGAGUCCAUGCUACCUUGUGCCAGGAAGCAAUUCAACCUCUACUGGCCUCUUUCUGUGUUAACUUUGGGAUGCAGAUACAUUGGUAGCAGAAAGUGGACUGGAGGAACUCUUGCGUGUGGGUUGUGGAGCAUCCAGAAAGUUUUCAAGUUGCUGUUGACUUGGCUGGAUUGAAUUUACUGGGAUUGCUCUAGUCCUUCCCUAUUUUUCUUCUUCCAUCCAUGGCUUAUCAGGCGCCAUCUUUGUUCAUUCCAGGCAAUAAGAAAGACAGAGGGUAUAAGAGGCAGUUUGCUGAUUUUUCUCUUCCUUUGUUUUCUAAGAAGGAAAUUAAAGUAUCUUGAAUCUACAACACCCUGACAAUUGGUCCAGAUGCACGUACAUUUAGUGUUAUUUUCACUGAGAACAGAGCUGUGGUGCUGCUUACAUUGUGGGUGGAGAGUGGACAGAGAGUCCCUUCAAGCCCUGAUGUGUGACUGUGUCCGAAAGCACUGAAUGCUGGUGGAGCUGUGACCAGUGCACUGGGACUGGCUGCCCCUGCUGUGUUCUGGGAUUACUUUGCUGUGACAUGCUGUUGCUUAGCACAGGGCACUUCCAAGAAGCCUUGUGUGGGGAUGUGCAGGUCACAAUCCAGUUCUCUAAUUCUUCCUGCUGUCUCUGCUAUAUCUGAUUAUACUCCUUAACUCAGGACAAAUAUCUAGGCAUGACAGCCUAAAGAUACUAAUAUUUUUUAAGUUAGACUCAGAACAAUUUUUCAGCUUUAGAUACCUCUGAAUACUUUUAUAAACACCUGACAAUGACCCAUUUCUCCUUUUCCUGCAGAAACUUGGUGGAACUGGAAGUCUAGCUAUCUGCCGCACUCUGGUUUAGGAGACGAAAAUUAAUAAAAUAUUUCCUCUCUCUUUCGUAACCACGGCAAGCUGAGGUGCACAAAAAUAAGUACAUGCUGGUCCACCACAGGAGGAAAAGUGUCUGGCAUUAUGUCCCUGGAUUGCAGACAGGCAGGAGAGCCAGAAUGUUUGUCAUCAGGAUCCCUUGCACGUACUCUGGAGCCACAGCUGAAAUUUUUAAGUUACACUCACACAUUGCACCACUCGUGAAGACACGUCCUCCAGAUGAUGUAAACCAACUGUGGUAAAACUGAGUUCCUCAGAGGAGAACAUUAAUGGAGCAAAACAGCACAGGCCCUCAAAACGGAACGAAAAGACUGGAAGGAGAGAAGACCUAGGCAAAUAAUAUCAUCAGAGAGUUCAGUGACAGCAAAUUGAACUGGCCAAAGAGCCUGGAAGUUCUACAAUAUUCUUUUUUUCAAGGAAUAUGUAUCAUAUUUAUCUAAAUAGAAAGUAGUAAUCUUUUGCACUGUUCUGUGUAAUUUCCAUUUCCCACUACAAUCAGCUACCUGAAUGCUCAUUUAUUAAGAAGAACAGAAAGGGUUUGAAUAGAAUUUUCCAUGAACAUUUUAUUGCAAGAGGUGAGAUCUACAGGAGGAAUUAAGAAAACUUCAACCAAUAAAGGCCUUGUUUCACGGAUUCAUGAAGAUUCUUCAGUUUUCAGAUGGGAGAAAGCAGGCUCAGAUCAGACGUGUAAGUUCAAGUCAGAAAACUUCACCCUCAGUGGGUCUAACUGUCAAAGCAAUUAAAGCAUCUCUUGUGAUGUGUGUUAA